ACUCCUACGGGAGGCAGCAGUGGGGAAUAUUGGACAAUGGGCGAAAGCCUGAUCCAGCAAUGCCGCGUGUGUGAAGAAGGCCUGCGGGUUGUAAAGCACUUUUGCCAGGGAAGCAAAGGAACGCCCUAAUACGGUGUUGUGUUGACGGUACCUGGAGAAUAAGCACCGGCUAACUUCGUGCCAGUAGCCGCGGUAAUACGAAGGGUGCAAGCGUUAAUCGGAAUUACUGGGCGUAAAGCGCAUGCAGGUGGUUUGUUAAGUCAGAUGUGAAAGCCCGGGGCUCAACCUCGGAAUUGCAUUUGAAACUGGCAAACUAGAGUACUGUAGAGGGGGUAGAAUUUCAGGUGUAGCGGUGAAAUGCGUAGAGAUCUGAAGGAAUACCGGUGGCGAAGGCGGCCCCCUGGACAAAGACUGACGCUCAGAUGCGAAAGCGUGGGGAGCAAACAGGAUUAGAUACCCUGGUAGGAUAGCG
rnacentral:rRNA from 1 species